AAAGAAGCCAGACAUAAUCAAUCAAUAAUCUCUUAUUAGAAUACCACUGAGUGCUCCUAAAACAGUAGAGAGCCACUUGUCAGGCCUAAAGGUGUUGGGGAAAAUUGUCAAGGCAACCCACCACCCAAUAGGAACAGACGUAUCUUGGGCUUCUGAGGUUGUAAAAAAACUCUUGGCUAGAAUUCACUGCAGAGUGAAGAAGCAGGAGGGAGCAAGGCAUGCACACUUGUGGCCCAUCUGCACUUACAGGCCCGCCAGAGCUCUGAUAGCAAAAUCUCCCAAGGUGACGAAACCUUGAAGGCCCUAGAGGGGUACCCACUGACUCUGAGUAGAACACUGAGGACACAGGCUCACCACUGAACUUGGUGCCAAGAGGUUAAAACAAUGAAUCUGUUUCCAAUGCCUCUUUGGGUGGUUUUUUUGUUUUUUUCCACGGAAUCUCUGCUUCCCAUCUCCUUGGUUUAUUCAGCUCCUGUAAAAUACUAUGACUCGCCUAAGAAGGGGAUUACAAGAAUCCUAGACACAGAUGAAAAACUGUUCAAACCGCAAUACCAGUUUGUUCCUAACGACAUCACCCCAGUUCCUAUUUUCAAAAAGAAAUUCUUGGUAGAGGAGUACCAGAACAAUUCUCAAGGCCACACUUGGCUCAAGAAAGAUACUGCAAAUACUGACAUGGACAUGCAAGAAUCAUACACUAACUCAGAUGAAUAUGUGAAAGAUUGUUCUCUGAAGACAAGAAAAAAAGCAACUGGAGUCAAGAAGUCAUAUUGCUUGCCUGUGUAUUAUUCCUAUUUGCUUUGAUGGGUGGAGCAGCUGUGUAUUCAACCAUAUAUGACCACUCAAAGCGUGAGGAAACCACAGAACCUGACAGUGUUGCUGAGACGCUUAUACCAUUAAAACCAGUACAGGAACUUGAUAAGUGGAAGCCAAAGGAAAAAUUUUCUGAGACUACAGACAACAAAAAAGAAUUGGAGAUAUUACUCUAUUUAGUUUUGAAAACUGAGAGGAAGAAAAAGAGACAUAAGAAAAA